rnacentral:tRNA from 1 species
GGAUUAGUAGUCAAGCUGGUUAAGACACAACCCUUUCAAUGUUGUCACCGUGGGUUCAAGUCCCACCUAGUCUA